rnacentral:rRNA from 1 species
UACGUAGGGUGCAAGCGUUAAUCGGAAUUACUGGGCGUAAAGCGUGCGCAGGCGGCUUUGCAAGACAGAUGUGAAAUCCCCGGGCUCAACCUGGGAACUGCAUUGGUGACUGCAAGGCUGGAGUACGGUAGAGGGGGAUGGAAUUCCGCGUGUAGCAGUGAAAUGCGUAGAUAUGCGGAGGAACACCGAUGGCGAAGGCAAUCCCCUGGACCUGUACUGACGCUCAUGCACGAAAGCGUGGGGAGCAAACAGG